GAUGAACGCUGGCGGCGUGCCUAAUACAUGCAAGUCGAGCGAACGGACGAGAAGCUUGCUUUUCUGAUGUUAUCGGCGGACGGGUGAGUAACACGUGGAUAACCUACCUAUAAGACUGGGCUAACUUCGGGAAACCGGAGCUAAUACCGGAUAAUAUUUUGAACCGCAUGGUUCAAAAGGGAAAGACGGUCUUGCUGUCACUGAUAGAUGAAUCCGCGCUGCAUUAGCUAGUUGGUAAGGUAACGGCUUACCAAGGCAACGAUGCAUAGCCGACCUGAGAGGGUGAUCGGCCACCCUGGAAAUGAGACACGGUCCAGACUCCUGAGGGAGGCAGCAGUAGGGAAUCUUCCGCAAUGGGCGAAAGCCUGACGGAGCAACGCCGCGUGAGUGAUGAAGGUCGUCGGAUCGUAAAACGCUGUUAUUAGGGAAGAACAUAUGUGUAAGUAACUGUGCACAUCUGGACGGUACCUAAUCAGAGAGCCACGGCUAACUACGUG
rnacentral:rRNA from 1 species